AAAUGAUGUAAUUCACGCUACAAGGAGGCACGUCCGCUGACCUGGCUUGGCAGAGAGACAAAGAGACUUAGAUGAAUGUAGCCCCAGAUGCAGAGUUCAGAACUAUGAAGUAAGUGUGAAGUGCUCGAUGUGCUGAGAAAGAAAAAGGAAAGGUCUUCAGACUGAUGGAGUGUGACAGGAUCCAGAUGAGCCCUCUUCUUGAGUUGAAUUGCAUCCAUUUCAACAAGCUGUCAUCAAACAGUGGUGCCAGGGAGCUACUAGGAAAUGGGAUGAGGAGAGUCUGGGAUGUCUGUUGGUGCUUCCCAACGAGUGUUAUGGGCCCUCUGUUUUCAGGUGGACCUUCCUGCAGGAGCAGAAGAUUUCUUGCUAAAGGGAGU